rnacentral:rRNA from 1 species
GACGAACGCUGGCGGCGUGCUUAACACAUGCAAGUCGAGCGGUAAGGCCCUUUCGGGGGUACACGAGCGGCGAACGGGUGAGUAACACGUGGGUGACCUGCCCUCAGCUCUGGGAUAAGCCUGGGAAACCGGGUCUAAUACCGGAUAUGGACUCCAUGACGCAUGUUGUGGGGUGGAAAGCCUUGUGCGGCUGAGGAUGGGCCCGCGGCCUAUCAGCUUGUUGGUGGGGUGAUGGCCUACCAAGGCGACGACGGGUAGCCGGCCUGAGAGGGCGACCGGCCACACUGGGACUGAGACACGGCCCAGACUCCUACGGGAGGCAGCAGUGGGGAAUCUUGCGCAAUGGGCGAAAGCCUGACGCAGCGACGCCGCGUGAGGGAUGACGGCCU